UGAGGAAUAUUGGGCAAUGCCCGCAAGGGUGACCCAGCAACGCCGCGUGGAGGAUGAAUGUCGUAAGAUUGUAAACUCCUGUUAGAGGGGAAGAAUAGUACCGGUUGGACCGGUAUAUGACUGUACCCUCAGAGAAAGCCCCGGCUAACUACGUGCCAGCAGCCGCGGUAAUACGUAGGGGGCAAGCGUUGUCCGGAUUUACUGGGUGUAAAGGGCGCGCAGGCGGGAUAAAAAGUCAGUGGUGAAAUCCUACAGCUUAACUCGGAAACUGCCGUUGAUACUAUUUGUCUUGAAUAUUGUGGAGGUAAGCGGAAUAUGUCAUGUAGCGGUGAAAUGCUUAGAUAUGACAUAGAACACCAAUUGCGAAGGCAGCUUGCUACACAAUCAUUGACGCUGAGGCACGAAAGCGUGGGGAUCAAACA
rnacentral:rRNA from 1 species